rnacentral:rRNA from 1 species
UGUCCCCUACGGGAGGCAGCAGUAGGGAAUCUUCCGCAAUGGGCGCAAGCCUGACCCAGCAACGCCGCGUGAAGGAAGAAGGCUUUCGGGUUGUAAACUUCUUUUCUCAGGGACGAAGAAAGUGACGGUACCUGAGGAAUAAGCCACGGCUAACUACGUGCCAGCAGCCGCGGUAAUACGUAGGUGGCAAGCGUUAUCCGGAUUUACUGGGUGUAAAGGGCGUGUAGGCGGGGAAGCAAGUCAGA